GGGUGGUUAGCUCAGUUGGGAGAGCGUCGCGUUCGCAAUGCGAAGGUCAGGGGUUCAAACCCCCUACCAUCCACCA
rnacentral:tRNA from 1 species